rnacentral:rRNA from 1 species
UACAGAGGUCUCAAGCGUUGUUCGGAUUCAUUGGGCGUAAAGAGCUCGUAGGCGGUCUGUUGCGUCCGCUGUGAAAACUCGGGGCUUAACCCCGAGCCUGCAGUGGAUACGGGCAGACUAGAGGUAGGUAGGGGAGAAUGGAAUUCCCGGUGUAGCGGUGAAAUGCGCAGAUAUCAGGAGGAACACCGGUGGCGAAGGCGGGUCUCUGGGCCGAUACUGACGCUGAGGAGCGAAAGCGUGGGGAGCGAACAGG